GACGAACGCUGGCGGCGUGCUUAACACAUGCAAGUCGAACGGAAAGGCCCUGCUUUUGUGGGGUGCUCGAGUGGCGAACGGGUGAGUAACACGUGAGUAACCUGCCCUUGACUUUGGGAUAACUUCAGGAAACUGGGGCUAAUACCGUAUAGGAGCUCCUGCUGCAUGGUGGGGGUUGGAAAGUUUCGGCGGUUGGGGAUGGACUCGCGGCUUAUCGGCUUGUUGGUGGGGGAGGGGCUUACCAAGGCUUUGACGGGUAGCCGGCCUGGGAGGGUGACCGGCGACCUUGGGACUGCGGUACGGCCCAGACUCCUACGGGAGGCAGCAGUGGGGAAUCUUGCACAAUGGGCGGAAGCCUGAUGCGGCAGCGCCGCGUGCGGGAUGACGGCCUUCGGGUUGUAAACCGCUUUCGCCUGUGACGAAGCGUGAGUGACGGUAAUGGGUAAAGAAGCACCGGCUAACUACGUG
rnacentral:rRNA from 1 species